rnacentral:rRNA from 1 species
UACGUAGGUGGCAAGCGUUAUCCGGAUUUAUUGGGCGUAAAGGGAACGCAGGCGGUCUUUUAAGUCUGAUGUGAAAGCCUUCGGCUUAACCGGAGUAGUGCAUUGGAAACUGGGAGGCUUGAGUGCAGAAGAGGAGAGUGGAACUCCAUGUGUAGCGGUGAAAUGCGUAGAUAUAUGGAAGAACACCAGUGGCGAAAGCGGCUCUCUGGUCUGUAACUGACGCUGAGGUUCGAAAGUGUGGGUAGCAAACAGG